rnacentral:rRNA from 1 species
CGGCGAGUGAGCGGCAAAAGCUCAAAUUUGAAAUCUGGCACCUUCGGUGUCCGAGUUGUAAUUUGAAGAAGGUAACUUUGGAGUUGGCUCUUGUCUAUGUUCCUUGGAACAGGACGUCACAGAGGGUGAGAAUCCCGUGCGAUGAGAUGCCCAAUUCUAUGUAAAGUGCUUUCGAAGAGUCGAGUUGUUUGGGAAUGCAGCUCUAAGUGGGUGGUAAAUUCCAUCUAAAGCUAAAUAUUGGCGAGAGACCGAUAGCGAACAAGUACAGUGAUGGAAAGAUGAAAAGAACUUUGAAAAGAGAGUGAAAAAGUACGUGAAAUUGUUGAAAGGGAAGGGCUUGAGAUCAGACUUGGUAUUUUGCAAGCCUUACCUUCGUGGUGGGGUCCCCUGCAGUUUACUGGGCCAGCAUCGGUUUGGAUGGUAGGAUAAUGACUUGGGAAUGUGACUUUGCUUCGGUAAAGUGUUAUAGCCCUUGUUGAUACUGCCUGUCUAGACCGAGGACUGCGUCUUUGACUAGGAUGCUGGCAUAAUGAUCUUAAGUCGCCCGUCUUGA